CCUACGGGAGGCAGCAGUGAGGAAUAUUGGUCAAUGGACGAGAGUCUGAACCAGCCAAGUAGCGUGAAGGAUGACUGCCCUAUGGGUUGUAAACUUCUUUUAUAUGGGAAUAAAACGUUCCACGUGUGGGAUUUUGUAUGUACCAUAUGAAUAAGGAUCGGCUAACUCCGUGCCAGCAGCCGCGGUAAUACGGAGGAUCCGAGCGUUAUCCGGAUUUAUUGGGUUUAAAGGGAGCGUAGGUGGAUUGUUAAGUUAGUUGUGAAAGUUUGGGGCUAAACCGUAAAAUUGCAGGUGAAACUGGCAGUCUUGAGUACAGUAGAGGUGGGCGGAAUUCGUGGUGUAGCGGUGAAAUGCUUAGAUAUCACGAAGAACUCCGAUUGCGAAGGCAGUUCACUGGACUGCAACUGACACUGAGGCGCGAAAGUGUGGGUAUCAAACAGGAUUAGAUACCCAAGUAGUC
rnacentral:rRNA from 1 species